rnacentral:siRNA from 1 species
GAGCAUCUCUAUCGGCAAAAGUG